AACGCGAAGAACCUUACCAGCCCUUGACAUGUCCAGGACCGGUCGCAGAGAUGUGACCUUCUCUUCGGAGCCUGGAGCACAGGUGCUGCAUGGCUGUCGUCAGCUCGUGUCGUGAGAUGUUGGGUUAAGUCCCGCAACGAGCGCAACCCCCGUCCUUAGUUGCUACCAUUUAGUUGAGCACUCUAAGGAGACUGCCGGUGAUAAGCCGCGAGGAAGGUGGGGAUGACGUCAAGUCCUCAUGGCCCUUACGGGCUGGGCUACACACGUGCUACAAUGGCGGUGACAAUGGGACGCUAAGGGGCAACCCUUCGCAAAUCUCAAAAAGCCGUCUCAGUUCGGAUUGGGCUCUGCAACUCGAGCCCAUGAAGUUGGAAUCGCUAGUAAUCGUGGAUCAGCACGCCACGGUGAAUACGUUCCCGGGCCUUGUACACACCG
rnacentral:rRNA from 1 species